rnacentral:rRNA from 1 species
UGUCACCUACGGGGCGCAGCAGUGAGGAAUAUUGGUCAAUGGUCGGGAGACUGAACCAGCCAAGCCGCGUGAGGGAUGAAGGUACAGAGUAUCGUAAACCUCUUUUGUCAGGGAACAAAGGCGGGGACGUGUCCCCGGAUGAGUGUACCUGAAGAAAAAGCAUCGGCUAACUCCGUGCCAGCAGCCGCGGUAAUACGGAGGAUGCGAGCGUUAUCCGAAUUUAUUGGGUUUAAAGGGCGCGCAGGCGGUCUGUUAAGUCAGCGGUCAAAGCCCGGGGCUCAACCCCGGCCCGCCGUUGAAACAUG